CAUUACCUGAGUUGUGCUUCGGCUCCUCUUUUCUGCGCGGAUGAAUCUGAUGGCGCAGUGACGCGACCAAGCUUACAGGUGUGAUUAAAUGUAACUAACGACAACAUAACUUCUCCAAUAACAGAUGUAAGAAAAAAAGCUAAACUCUGCAGAAAGUGGACCUCAAGAUACAGAAAGACCUGAGAUAAGAUGUUGUUGAGGGGGUGAAAGGAGCUCGUCUCCGACGGCCCACCUCCCAUGUUGAGCCAGGCAUCCAAGGAGUUCUGUGAGGAUGAAUGCAGAUUGGUGUUCUCAGACAGAGAGAGCAUCAUUGCAUAAGCCUGGAUGGAGAAAAGGAGGACAGUUCAAUUGCAAAGCCAAAACAUUUGUCAUCUGUUAAUUAGGGGUUCCUCGCCAGCCUUAUGGAACUCCAGGCCUUUGGGGAAACCAGCCAGAGGUUCCAGAUCUAAUAGGCCUGCAUCCUCCUCAAUACACCUGUACCAGGAUAGGGAGGGGUGUGGAGAGGGGAGGGAC